rnacentral:rRNA from 1 species
UACGUAGGGGACCAGCGUUGUCCGGAUUUACUGGGCGUAAAGAGCGCGCAGGCGGUCGUUCAAGUCGAGUGUGAAAGCCCCCGGCUCAACUGGGGAGGGUCAUUCGAUACUGAUCGACUCGAAGGCAGGAGAGGGAAGUGGAAUUCCCGGUGUAGUGGUGAAAUGCGUAGAUAUCGGGAGGAACACCAGUGGCGAAGGCGACUUCCUGGCCUGUUCUUGACGCUGAGGCGCGAAAGCUAGGGGAGCAAACGGG